UACGGGGGGGGCAAGCGUUGUUCGGAAUUACUGGGCGUAAAGGGCUCGUAGGCGGCCAACUAAGUCGGAUGUGAAAUCUCCGAGCUUAACUCGGAAAGGUCAACUGAUACUGUGCGGCUAGAGUGCAGAAGGGGCAACUGGAAUUCUUGGUGUAGCGGUGAAAUGCGUAGAUAUCAAGAGGAACACCUGCGGCGAAGGCGGGUUGCUGGGCUGACACUGACGCUGAGGCGCGAAAGCUAGGGGAGCGAACAGG
rnacentral:rRNA from 1 species